rnacentral:lncRNA from 1 species
CUAGAUUUUUUUCUUUCACUUUUGAAUUUUAAAUUCUUAGAAUAGGUUGAAUUUUAUUUUCAAUGUGUAUGCUUGUCUUGAAUACUUUUUCUGAAGAUGUUUAACUGAAUAGUUUGCAUGAUGAGUCUGUUUAAUGAUGAUUUGAUGUGGAUGAUAAUUAAGCUGCAUUGCAUGUUAAUAUUCUGUGAAACAGAUGGGGGAUGAAUUAUGAUUGUGGUUAUGAUGCUAAGCAGGGUGUAUGAAUGAAUAUUGUGUGAGAAAGCAUGUUGUGUGAGGUAUUGAGCUCCAAAGUUUUCAUUGUUAUAUGUAUUGUUCACAAGAAAGCAUGAAUGAUAUUUCCUUAAUCUUGAUCAUUGAUUGAAUUGCAUGUGAAUUUCAUAUGAUCAAGGCCAUUUUUGAAAACCCUUCUCUAGCCAAAUUUUCACCCAAAGUGCUUGAAAAUGUUAUACCCUUUUUGAACCUCGGCCUUAAACAGGAUGUGAACCCUUGUCUUUAAAUUCUUUACCUUGAGUUGGGAUGAGCUUAAUUGUAGGUGAUAAAAAGGUUCAAGUUUGGGGUUGCAUGGGGUAAAUUGUAAGGCAAUUGAAAAAGCAUUGAGCUCAAUUGUUGUGAAAGAAUAAUACAUGAGAAAAAGAAAAGAAAAGAAGAAAAGCAUGAAGAUGGACUCAAUGUAAAAGAAAAGGUAAAAGAUGGGGAAUAAGUGAGAUUGGUGAGGAAGAGAAUUAUGCUUAUUGAAUACCAUGUUAGCUCUCUUAACUCAAGGAUUUUGUAUUCUAGAAAAACCAAUUAUUCUUGUUUUCCCAGCCUUAUUACAAGCCUUGGAAAAGUCCUUUUGAUGGCAUUUGCAUGUAAGGAUUUUGGUU